rnacentral:rRNA from 1 species
CAGCAGCCGCGGGAAUACGAAGGGUGCAAGCGUUACUCGGAAUUACUGGGCGUAAAGCGUGCGUAGGUGGUGGUUUAAGUCCGUUGUGAAAGCCCUGGGCUCAACCUGGGAAUUGCAGUGGAUACUGGGUCACUAGAGUGUGGUAGAGGAUAGUGGAAUUUCCGGUGUAGCAGUGAAAUGCGUAGAGAUCGGAAGGAACAUCUGUGGCGAAGGCGACUAUCUGGACAAAGACUGACGCUCAGGUGCGAAAGCGUGGGGAGCAAACAGGAUUAGAUACCCCUGUAGUCCCUGUCUCUUAUAC